GACGAACGCUGGCGGCGUGCUUAACACAUGCAAGUCGAACGGAAAGGCCCUGCCUUUGUGGGGUGCUCGAGUGGCGAACGGGUGAGUAACACGUGAGUAACCUGCCCUUGACUUUGGGAUAACUUCAGGAAACUGGGGCUAAUACCGGAUAGGAGCUGCUGCUGCAUGGUGGGGGUUGGAAAGUUUCGGCGGUUGGGGAUGGACUCGCGGCUUAUUAGCUUGUUGGUGGGGUAGUGGCUUACCAAGGCCUUGACGGGUAGCCGGCCUGAGAGGGUGACCGGCCACAUUGGGACUGGGAUACGGCCCAGACUCCUACGGGAGGCAGCAGUGGGGAAUAUUGCACAAUGGGCGGAAGCCUGAUGCAGCAACGCCGCGUGCGGGAUGACGGCCUUCGGGGUGUAAACCGCUUUCGCCUGUAACGAAGCGUGAGUGACGGUAAUGGGUAAAGAAGCACCGGCUAACUACGUG
rnacentral:rRNA from 1 species